rnacentral:snRNA from 1 species
GCUUGUUUCAGCAGUGCAUAUACUAAAAUUGUAAUGAUACAGAGACAAUUAGCAUGGCCCCUGUGCAAGGAUGACACAAAAAAAAAAAAAAAGAAAAAGAAAAAA